rnacentral:rRNA from 1 species
CAGAUUGAACGCUGGCGGAAGUGCUUACACAUGCAAGUCGAACGGUAGAGGGGCAACCCUUGAGAGUGGCGAACGGGUGAGUAAUAUAUCGGAACGUGCCCAGUCGUGGGGGAUAACGUAGCGAAAGCUACGCUAAUACCGCAUACGAUCUAUGGAUGAAAGCGGGGGAUCGCAAGACCUCGCGCGAUUGGAGCGGCCGAUAUCAGAUUAGGUAGUUGGUGAGGUAAAGGCUCACCAAGCCGACGAUCUGUAGCUGGUCUGAGAGGACGACCAGCCACACUGGGACUGAGACACGGCCCAGACUCCUACGGGAGGCAGCAGUGGGGAAUUUUGGACAAUGGGCGCAAGCCUGAUCCAGCAAUGCCGCGUGCAGGAUGAAGGCCUUCGGGUUGUAAACUGCUUUUGUACGGAACGAAACGGUGAGCUCUAAUACAGUUUGCUAAUGACGGUACCGUAAGAAUAAGCACCGGCUAACUACGUG